rnacentral:tRNA from 1 species
GGGGGCGUGGUGCAGCGGCCGAGCAUACCUCCCUGUCAAGGAGGAGAUCGCGGGUUCGAAUCCCGUCGCUCCCG